AUGGUGUUAAUUAUGAUAUAUCAUGGAGGUGUUAUGUAUAUGUUCAAAUCAAGUGAAUUCAGAAACAAUGAUGUGAUACAGCAACAUCUACUUUGGAUAAGCUUAGACCUGGCCACAGUCCGAUUUAGAGCUGUGGCUGGGACAAACCUGAACCAGACUGUUGGGUCCUAGUUCCCAACGGUUCCAAUUAUCUAUGAUUCUGGCUCAGUACUGGUCCAGGCUGGAGGUUGUUCAGGUGUUGGGCCGGUUCCAAACCGGCUGAA
rnacentral:misc_RNA from 1 species